CCCUCCAGGUGUUUCAGACUACAACUCCCAUCAUCCCCAGCAAGCAUGGUCAACAGUGAGAGAUGAUGGGAGUUGUAGUCCAAAACAUCUGGAGGG